AUAAAACCAUUCUGAUAAAGACACCAACAGACAAACACCUUGCAAGACUUGCCAAGCAGCUAAGUAUCAAUAAAUGUAAAGAAUUAAUGGUGUAUCUUGGGAUAGAAGCGACAGAGUGGGAAGACAUUGAAUAUGUCUACCAAAAGCAGCCUCUGAUUAUGAGAUUUAUGGCAUUGAAGGAGAAGCCUUCCAAAUCAUUUAAUGAUUUGCUUAAAGCACAAGAACACAUUAAAGAUGGAAGGCAUUUACUUUGCAAGGUGUUCAGAGAAGACACAGGUUUAGUUGAUAUUGCAGAUGUUCGACUGCAAGAAAUUCCACAUGAUGAUGUUUUAAAUGGUUUGUCCAAGCACCUUGGUAAUUGCGCCAUACUCUUGGGAAUUGAGCUAGAAAUUACUAUCAGUUCCAUAGAGGAGACAAUGACACGGUAUCCUAGGGAUAUGUACCUUCAGAUAGAAGACAUCCUGAGAAAAUGGAAAUCCUCAAGAAAAGUAAAACCUACAAUAUACAGGUUGAUGCUUGCUGUGGAACGUGUAUAUAGUGGUGGUUUGGGUUAUUUAAAAAAAAUAUAUUUUAGACAAUAAUCUUUGUAUAAUCUAUGUUAAGUAGUGAAUGGUAUUCUUUGAAUCCUUUUUCUUCAACUUUGCAUGAUACCGUUAGUGUCGAUCAAAGUAACUGUGAAAUAGAAACUAUAAAAAAAUGUAAAAAAAUGAAAUAUUAAUAAUAUUAUUAGAUUGUAUAUUAGGCAAACAUAUUGUUUUACUGUAAAUUUUUGAAUUGAAAAAAAAAUGGAAAAUCUUAAUAUAAAAAAGAAAAAAAAACCUCUAUUGACUGAUCUGUUAUAUUUUGGCAUUCAGUCACGUCUAUCCACAAAUGCGUUUUUGUCCGCGAAUAUGUAAAUCUACCAAAGAUUGAGAAAAAACCAGUAAUGCUGGUGAUUUUUUCCAAUAUCCUUAUUCUUGGGCAUAGCAAUGUUUGGUUAUUCCAAGUAUCUGUUGUUUAACUGGUAUGCGACGUUUUGAUAAAACAAGUACUUUAAUAUUUUUCCUACAUAUCUACAUUAUGGAUAGAAUGAUAAAAAUUUGUGUGAGAUUUUUGUAAUUUUUGUAUUUCAAGUUGGUCUUCAAAUAUCUUAAAAGAACCGCAAUAUUGGUACACCUUAUAUUAUGAUUUUAGUUUCAAAUUUCGAUGAAACUAAUGCUAUGUGUGUAUAACAUUUAAACACUCAAUUUAUUUAAACU